GACGAACGCUGGCGGCGUGCUUAUCACAUGCAAGUCGAACGGAAAGGCCCUGCUUUUGUGGGUUUCUCGAGUGGCGAACGGGUGAGUAACACGUGUGUAACCUGCCCUUGACUUUGGGAUAACUUCAGGAAACUGGGGCUCAUACCGGAUAUGAGCUCCUGCUGCAUGGUGUUGGUUGGUAAGUUUCGGCGGUUCGGGAUGUACUCGCUGCUUAUCAGCUUGUUGGUGUGGUAGUUGCUUACCAAGGCUUUGACGGGUAGCCGGCCUGAGAGGGUUAACGGCCACAUGGGGACUGAGAGAGGGACCAGAAUGCUACGGGAGGCAGCAGGGGGGAGUAUGGCAGAAUGGGGGGAAGCCUGAUGAAGAAGCGCCGCGUGCGGGAUGACGGGCUUCGGGUUGUAAACAGAUUUCGACUGAGACGAAGAGUGAGUGACGGUAAUGGGUAAAGAAGCAACGGCUAACUACGUG
rnacentral:rRNA from 1 species